GAUCAGUGUCACAUGAUCCUUCAGAAAUCAAUGAUAUGCUGAUUUGAUGCUCAAUUAUGAAAACUAUAAAGUGUUUAUUUUAAAUUGUAAUAUUUCAAAAUAUGUAUUAAAUAUUGUAUUUUUGAUUAAAUAAAUGCAGUCUUGGUGAGCAGAAGAAAUCUAAAAAUUGACCGAUAUUUUAAUUACAGACUAACAUUUCUGUCACAUUGAAAGCCUGGCUGUAGAAAACUGUAUUUUUCUUUUUGUGAUUGUCAGAGCUUGAUGGCAGCUUUCAUCUACAUCAUUGUGCUCAACAUCUUUGUGUUGCACAAAUGAAAGAAAGUCACGCAGACUGGAACAACAUGAGGGAGAUUCUAUUGGACAUGAGAGUUUGUGUCCCAUUUGUGUCCAUGGAGGGGAGUGUGAUCUGCAGGUCAACAUCGUAAAGCGUUAUCUUCUCAAAUCCCCGUCAGCCGGCGCAGACUGAACACAGCUGCCUUAUUGUUCUUGUUAAGUUGUUGUACAGAGUCAGAGCAUUUUCUGAAAUUAUUUUGAAUAAUAAACCUACAAUUCAGUUUUGUGACAAUGUGGCUGACUGUACAUUAUGCACAUGGCAAGCUUGGCAGGUUUUGGGCUGCCGUGGACAGCUGAAUCCCAAUAUUUUAUAUUCUUCAUAUUUUGUGCGGUGGUUUGUUCGCAGCAGUGUGUAACGGACAGUCCGAUGAAGGAAGAUGAUGAACACAGGAUACGAUAGCAAUAGCGUUUACUGGUGAUAAACACAGAGAAGGCUUACAUCCAGCAACAUAACUCGAUACACUAACAAUGACUGACGAUGAACAGAGGACAGGCAGGAACUUAAAUACCCAGAUAAUGAAUACUAAAUGGGAACAGCUGACAAGCCUUAACUAAUUAGAAACCAUGGUGAUUAAUGAGAACUAAUACAGACAAGACAGAAGGUGAACUAAACAGAACAUAAACGUGACAUAACGCCCCUUCGGAAAGCUGCGUCCUCGCGCCGUGACAUAAACAGUACAUGAUGAGGGAAGAAGGCGGCGGUUUCGGUGGAGGGCAUGUAGCUGGUGACGGACAGGAGCCUGGAAGAGUUAGCCACAAUCACCAUGGUGGUGUCGAUGGUGGGAGGAGCCAUGGUGGAGUCCUGACUGCAGGGCCGGACGGAACCCUGGGACCGAUCAGUGGAGGCGGAACCAUGGUGAGCGGAGGAACCGGCGGAACAUCGUGGUUGACGGACCUGGGCGACAUCGCAGGCCUGGAAGCCUGGCGCCGAGCUGCUGGCUCGCGGGACUGAGGCGAUGACUCGGGCGAUGUUGGAGUGAGCGAGGAUGACGGGGAGGUCGUAGGGAGGGAAGUGCCCGAUGACGCUGUAGGGGUGCAGGGUGCAGGCAUAGUCGAAACCCCAAAAGUCCGUGGCGGAAGCUGGGCGUCGACUUCCGGAGGCCGACCUGGAGUGACAAGGGACAAGGUGACAGAAGGUGAACUAAACAGAACAUACACGUGACACAGUGACAGAAAUGAUCUUUUAAGUUUAAAUUGAUUUUUACAUUUUAUGGGCAUUUUUAGCUUUAUGAAGUCAUUUUUAUAACCUUAUUAAAUGUAUGCAUAAUCUUUUGUGUUAAAUUCAAUUAUAAUAAUAAGACACAAUAGAGCUGUUACCAAUCAAAUGAAAUCAGUAUUAACAAAAUGUAUCUUUGCAAUGCAGAGGAACCACAGCAUUUAGAUGCAUUUACAGAUUGUUUAAUGCAGCUCAGAGGGACAUAAAUAACGUUUUGAUGUUUUAAACAUAAAACAUUGAAUACUGAUAUUUUGAAAUUAUUUAAAAAAUAAAAUUUUAAAUGUGAAAUUAAAACUUCCAUUAGGUGGUAGCAAGUCACUCUUGAUGAGUGAGUCAUUGAGUUUCAACCGAUUCAUUCAAACGGCUGAUUCAUUCAGGAACAAAGCAUUUGACAGUCUUUUUUUUUUUUUUUUUUUUUACAUUACAAAACUUCAAAUAGCUUUGGAAUGUCUAGAUCAUCUUUGAAUAGAGAAAAGAGAGGUUUAGAGCCAAAUUUUUGUUUAUGUAUGUGAAAUUUAGCUAGUAGGAAACAUAAAUUAAUUAUGUAAUAUUUCCCUAUAUUCUUUUGAGUAGUAAAACAAUCCAAAGAAAACAUCUUUAAAACAGAAAGAAAAGUCACUUAUAAAAUAUGAUUGGAUAAACAUUAACACAUCUGACCAAAAUUUCUCUGUGUGGGUACAUUGCCAAAACAAGUGAGUGACAUGUUCCUCAGCAGAGUGACAGAAAGAACAAUUCACUUCAAUAUCUGAUUUAUGUUUCCUAAGAAAGGCUUUGGUCGGGUAACAUUUGUGAAUUAAUUUAAAUGUUAUUUCUUUUACUUUAUUAGUAAGCAGAUACUUAUGAGACAAAGGCCUCUGUAAAUUCUCUACAAUAUAAUUCCAGUAUGGUGUUACAUAAGGAAUUGUCAUUACCUCUCUCUAGAAGAGAGCUCUGAUUUUAUCAUUAUUUUUUAUGUUGCUCUACAGAAAAGCACACAUUUCCAAUCAUUAUGUCAGUUAGGUUCAAAGAGUAAAUACAUGGCCACAGAUAAUGAAUACUAAACGGGAACAGCUGACAAGCCUUAACUAAUUAGAAACCAUGGUGAUUAAUGAGAACUAAUAGAGCGAAAUAGAGCAAAAACAGGCAAUAUUAUGUCUAAAAUGUAAGUCACUUAAUAUUAACUUUAAUUAUUGAACAGUUGUAUAAAAUCAAUAUCACAUUUGUAAUCAUGCUGAUAUUUGGAGGAAAAAACGUCACUCUUCAUGUGAUAUUAAGUAUAUUAAAUGAUAUAAAUAUAAAAUCUAUACAGAGGUAUUUUUGCCCCCUUAUCUUGAUUAUUGGGUGAAUUCUAAAUGCAUUUUAAUAGACUAAAUCACGCAGUGAAAGUGUCUAAAUGCGCAAACGCUAGUCUAACUGACUACAUCACUAGUGUAUGUGUGUACUCUCUAGGAGUGUUUUUGUAAAGGGAGGGACACAUUUCUAAGGCCUCUAGAUGAUAAUCAUGAUCAACUUUACUGAUAAACCUGUCGCACACAAUCUACAGCCCUUCUGUUAUCUGAUUGAUAGUUUUUUAGCAAGUAAAGGGUAUUUUGGUCUAACUGUACAAAUGUUGUGGUUCAUAUGUCUUUUUACUGUGAAAUUGAUUUUUAUAAAGUAAACUUAAGAAUCAGUUUUAUAUUGUUAGUAAUAUUUCAAGAUGAACACUUACUGCACUGAAGCAGCUUUAUAUGAUUAUCCAGACAUCAUUUCUUAGAAAAAUCAUGUUCAAAUGUUAGUCUCAAAUAUGAUCAUCAGGUUUUUGAGUAUUAUUUGUUCAUCUCACAAUCAUUGUAUUGCAUUAUAUUAUAUGUUUUAAAACUACAGAGAUUUGAUGAUAAAACUAAGCAUUUAAAUAUCAUCUUACUAAGACAUAUUAUUGGCAAAUAAUUAUUUGAUAUUUAUAUGAUUUUAUGCGAGAGGUCGCUAUACUGUUUUAAAGAUCUCAUUGAUUUACAUUACAAUCAUCAGAAUUUCAUCCAUAAAUAUCAGCAUCUAAAACAAAUUGUAUAUUUUUGCUCAAUUUAAGCCUCUGAAUAAUAUAAUGCCAUUUUUUAUUUACUUUAUUUUUUUUAGAUUUUUGUCUUAAGAAAAAAAAAAAAAAAAAAAGAUUUUUCUGACUAUUAUUUCAUAUAUCAGGGUUUACAGGGCUAGUAGUAUUAAAAAGUUACUUGUCUUCUAUUUUAAGUUGUCUCUCAUCCAGCUCUCAGUCUCUUACUGAUAUAUUAUAUAAUAAACUGUGAAAUAUAAAAACCACCUGAAUGUUUUCACCAGCAAAGCAAAGCAAAGUUUCUUCUCUCUGAAAACAUUCCUGGCGUUCCAUCUUCCUUAAGCUCAUUUUAUUGUUCCCUGUGGUGCAGUACUGUCCGUGAUAUUUGGCAGCGAUCUGAGUUGAUUCACAGUCAAACAGAGCUGGACAAAAACAAGUCCACUCAUCAAAACCAUAAUGAUACGCUCUAUUCAAGCACUCAUUGUGUCCAGCAUGAGCAGGACGGAGCUACUUCGAACAUGUGAAACCAUGAGUUCAUAAUCUUCAACCUUCUGAAAAUAUGAAGCUAUAACAGACUGAAGAAUAACAGAUUUUUUCUGUGUUGUGUUGGUUUUGUUGGCGCCGAGGGACUGAGCACCACAGCGAGAGGAAAUGCCACGGAGAUUGGUACAUAUGUGAAGAAAACGCUGUCAGAGCUGUCUGGGAAUGUUAUUGACAUCUGCCCAGUAGGAGUGCUGACCUUGAAACCUAAAGAUUUGACCUCUUGACCCUGAAAGACCAGGUGCAGAGAUACUUUACACACACUUUGAUCUCUCACAUACAUAAACAUGUUCUUAGGGGCCGUUUACACGACACCGUUUUCAACUAAAAACAAGAAACUUUAAUGGUUUCAGCCUUUCAUUUACAAGACAAUGGCGUUUUGGGGGCUUGGAAAUUAAAACUUUUGAAAAUGGGUUUUAAAGUGCAAGUUUUUGAAAUGAUACCGUUUAUCAUUCCCGUGUAAACUACAAAAACAUAAAUUCGUGAACAUCAUGUGCAUGCACAGUGUUUCUUUACAAAGUGACAUCGCCAUCUACUGACCUGGCAUAAAUAAUACAGUGUUUUUCAUUUCCGUGGAUCCAUUCCAUGUGAACACAAUCAUUUUGACAAUGUUUUCGUCUGCACGUGAAAAAUGUGAACGUACAACAUUUCCGUUUUUAGUACAUUGUUGUCGUGUAAACAUACCCUAAGUGUUCUUGUGUGGUGAGGUGAGUUACUGGUUCAAAGUUAAUUUAGUCACUUUGUAUUUUCAUGUUUAUUCCAGUGCAAUGCCUCAAAGACUUCCAUUAUACAUGCAUUAGUUCGCCCCAGAAUUAAACUUCUGUCAGUAAUUACUCAUUGUUGUUUCAAACCCUUAAGACUUAUUUGAAUAUACUCUCGUCCAUUUUUGGAACUAUGACGGAUUUUUGUAUGCCAAAACCCGGAAGUGAGUUAACAUUUUAGCACCUCCGGUUCCAUCGUCCCAAAGUCAUUAGGUUUUUUGAAUGUGUUUUUGGUUAAAUGGCUGAAUUAAGGUCUGUGGUUAACACCAGCUCAAGAUACUUUCACAUUUUAUUCUAUGACAUAAAUACAUAAGUAUUAACCAUGAUUUUAGUUGAAAAUAGGCAUAGAAAGAAUAAUUUACCAUGGAUUACUGAACAGGUAUGGAUGCUUAUGAAAAAGCGUGAUAUAGCUUUAAAAAAGCUAUAAAAUCUGCCCAACCAGACAUUUAUGGGAAAGCUACUGUAAAUAGUGUUUGCCAACAAGGGACGCUAUUUGCACUUAGUGUAAAUAGACACUCCGAAAAAGGUAAUUGAUAAAGAAAGACUCUAAAUCAUGUAACAAAUGUUUAGAAUUAGAUUUUAAAGGAAGAAUAACUGAUAAACCUGAUGAAAUUAUAGAUACAUUAAAUAAUUAUUUUGUUGACUCACUUCAAAGUUUGACUGAUAAAUUUGUAAUUAGAUAUUAAGAACUUAAUUUUGUUAAUUCAGUAAAACCUGCAUGUCAACAGUUUCAUAGAAUAAAAUUCAGAAUAUCAUAAAAGAUUUGAAAAAUUCUAAUGCUAAAGAUAUAGAUGGUUUAGAUUGUAUUAAAAAAAAACAAUAGUGAUAUUUUCUUUAGCACCAAUCACUCAUUUUGUGAAUUUAUCAAUUAGACAAUCUAUUUUCCCAGACUGGGUUAGUUACUCCAGUCUUCAAGGCAGGUGAUCCGUCUAAUGUAGCAAAUUAUGGGCCGAUCUUGUCAGUUAGUGUCUAAAAUAGCAGAAAAAGUAAUUUUUUAGAUAUACAAAAUAAUUUAUUGUGCCCUAUGCAUUUUGGUUUCCGUGAACAGCAUUCGACGGAAACUGCUGUAUGUUAUUUUAUUGAGCAAGUGCGGUCAAAACUAGACAAGGGUAGGGUUGUGGGUGCGGUGUUCCUUGAUUUACAAAAGGCAUUCGAUAUGCUAAAUCAUAAUAUUCUAUUAUCUAAAUUAUUAUAUUUUAACUUUUCUGUAGAAACAAUGAAAUGGAUUGAGUCUUAUCUUACAUCAAGGAAACAGUGCACCCGGAUUGAAACACGUAUAUCUUCCACGAGAUAUUGUUCCACGGGGUACCUCAGGGGUCUAUACUAGGGCCCCUACUUUUUAGCUUAUACUUGAAUGAUUUUUCAGAUGUUUGUCCUGAUGUAUUUAUUCAAAUGUACGCUAGAUGACACUGUGAUUUAUGUACAUGAUAAAACAAAUGAACAGGUGGCACAAAAAUUAUCUAUCGUAAUGACCAAAAUCUCUGACUGGCUUACUCAGUGUUGUUUAACAUUAAAUGUUCAGAAAACUGCUUCUAUGUAUUUUAAAAUUAAAAAGAAGGAGGAGAUCCAACCAGGUGUAUUAGUUAAUGGUGAACAAUUACAAGUUGUGCCAGAUUUUAAUUACCUUGGAGUUAUUAUAGACUCUCAUUUAACAUUUGAAAAGCAUGUUCAAAAAUAAUCUACGCAGUGACACCUCACCUUAGAAAUUUUACAUUUAUACGGAGUCAACUUUCAACAGAAGCUGCAAGAAUCUUUUUGCAAACCUAAUAGAUAUCAUCAUCGUUUUAUAAUUAAAAAUAACUUUUUUUUUACUUUUUUUUUUACAAUUGCUGUUUAAUGUACAAAAUUGUGAAUGAUCUUGCACCCUCACCCUUAAAAGCAUUCUUCUCUUCAUGUACUGAUAAAAUAAGACAAACAAGAGCUUCGUCAAGAGGUGAUUGUGAAGCGCAUUGUAGAGACACUGAUUUUGGUCGAUCAGCUUUUUCUGUAAGAGCUGUAAAUAACUGGAUUAAUUUACCAAUUAAUAUUAGACAGUGUCCUACUUUUGCACAGUUUAUCGAUCAUUGAAUAUUUUUGUGCUCUGGUAUGGUUUCAUAAUUUUGGGGGUUUUGAUUUUCAUUACUGUGUGACAUUUUGCAGUAUGUAUAUUGGGGGAUAUUUUGUAGUAAUUUGGACUGCAGUCUGUAUUGUUAUGUGAAGGAUUAUAUUUUUACAUUUGUGGGGAUUUUAUUGUAUAUGCAAUUAUAUCGAUGUUUUGGUAUGUAAUGAGUUUUGGUACUCUCCUACCCAGGGACAGCAGAUGAAAUUUAGCUCUGUAGCUAAUUUUGGGGCAGUUACUUACUGUCUAUUUUCCAUGUCAAAUAAAGAAUAAAAAAAAGAAAUAUUAAGCUGUUA